rnacentral:sRNA from 1 species
GGAGACCGUACGAGUUUUAUUCGUUUAGAACACGUU